ensembl:lncRNA
CUACUGAGUCAUAAUUCGAAGAAAAAUGAAUGUGUUUAGAAAUCCAUUAGGUUCAGUCAUUGGUCAGCAAGAGAAGUCACUUCAACAAAAGAGAAAUUGGCGAAGCCUUUUUGACAUGGCAAGGUGUAGAUGUGCUGGUCAUCUGGCUAAUUUGAAGUAGGUAGUGAAAGAGAACAGUAUCUUUAUAUUUUUAUAAAUUCAAGGCAACAAAAUAUCUCAGAACACUCUCCUGUAUGGGAUGAUAUUCGACUCGUAGAUGGCGCUGUAAAGCGGCAGCUUCAUAUUACAGCGCAGUUGCUCUAGUGAGUCAGCUCACGAGUUACCGUUCACUAUUAACGGACUAAAACAUAGAAUCAUUUCUUCAUUAUCAUAUCCUAAUGAAUAAACUCCGACCUGACUAAUCUGUGGAGAUGGGAGUAUUAAAGAUAAGCGAGCAGUCACUCCUGGUCCAGGCAGUAUUUAGCCAGAAUGCUGAAAUGGUGGAAUUUUUGUUGGAGCAAAAUGAAGAAGUCAAUGAAUUGUCAUUUGUUGUUGCAGGACCAAGAGUGCCGCACUGCACUGCAUGCUGCAUCUUAUGUUGGUGGUGUUUAUAUCAUGGACCUCCUCAUCAGUUCAGGUGAGAUCUGAGGUUUGAAUAUGGAGUUUACAGUUACAGACAUGAACAGCAAACCGCUCUGGUUCUUUUACAUGACUGUGUGUCC